AAGCGUUUGUAGCCAGACUUGGCGGCAGUUGCUCAACCGGUCUUUGCCCGGUGCACUCUUCUGCCGACAGGCCAGCAUCAGUUCGGGCGGCCGGAUAAAGGCAUCGGGAAUGUGGCUCCUCGGAGUGUUAUAGCCCCGAGUGUCAUGCGGCCUCCCGGGACCGAGGAACGCGCUUCGGCUCGGAUGUUGGCGUAAUGG
rnacentral:rRNA from 1 species